GUGCUUGCUUCAGCAGCACAUAUACUAAAAAUGGAAUGAAACAGAGAAGAUUAGCAUGGCUCAUGUGCAAUGAUAAUAUGCAAAUAUGUGAAGGGUUUCAUAUUGAA